GCGCAGCAGGCGCGAAACUUCACACUGUGCGAAAGCACGAUGAGGGAAUCCCAAGUGCUUGCACGUAAGUGUAAGCUGUUUCUCUGUUUAAAACGCAGAGAGAGUAAGGGCUGGGUAAGACGGGUGCCAGCCGCCGCGGUAAUACCUGCAGCUCAAGUGGUGACCGUUAUUAUUGGGCCUAAAACGUCCGUAGCCGGUUUAAUAAAUGGCCUGGGGUAAAUCGUGUAGCUUAACUAUACGAAUUCC
rnacentral:rRNA from 1 species